CUGGGCUAGUAUGGUAUGACUUUUGGUGUUUAUAACGUUUAUAGUUUUUGAAAUAUUUAGAUUUUAGUGCAAAUUUGGGCCAAUUUCUAGGCUCCUGAGAAAGAAAUGACUUUUGGCCCCAUAGAAACAGACUUUAUUUGUGGUGUGUUGGCUCUCUCUAGUGGUAUACCGGGAGUAGUACGGGCUAAAACUUUUAUUCUUGUCGGAAAACUCCAUAUCCCACAAUUCAUAGCACGCCUCUGCCAGUGAAACAAUGGCGGACACCACUUGGAUUCUAUAAUGCUUUUUUUGGUGUUUCUAGGUCACAAAAUAAACUUUUAAGAUAUUUUCAGGCGAGAAUGUAGGUGUGUAAACUUCAAAUAUCUGCUCGUUUUAUCAGGACAUCCCAUAUUAGCGACAAUUCUCUUAUGUGUUGCUGAUAGCCGGCUAGCUAGCGCCGCUAGCGACCCUUCGUGAAAAAGCACCCAGGCUUGGCUUAUAUUGACGCGGGUGAAACUCGUGUCAGCACCCGGUCGCUCGCCGACAGUAUGUGUUUUAGCUGGACUUAUUUUUCGUUUAUAUGGACCGAUGAUUUAUUUAUUUAUUCAUUUUAGUAACGGUAUAAACAGUGAAAGGUGGUGGAUUGGCCAGAUGUAAACUUCAAAUAUCUGCUCGUGUUACCAAGACAUCCCAUAUUAGCUCUGAUGUUUUCGGUGCCUGCAAAGAGCUAGACAGGUAGCUAGCUAACCCGAGCUGGCUGUCUUUUUGACUCAGGGUCAUAGCUGGACUUAUUUUUCGUUUUUAUGAGCCGAUGAGGGGUUUUUUUUUAGUAACGGUACAAACAGUGAAAGGCGGUGGAUUGUCCAGAUGCUGGGCAGCUAUCCACCGGUGUGUGUCAGAAAGAACAUGCGGGGAACGAGGCGGCGAGGCGACCGCCGAUCGACCGGUGGUAGAUCAUGGAUCAGGGAAACCGAAGGCAGGAGAAGCAGGCGGCUGCCGGUCGGAGCGUGAGGUGAACUGAGUUUCAGG
ensembl:lncRNA